rnacentral:rRNA from 1 species
GAUGAACGCUGGCGGCGUGCCUAAUACAUGCAAGUCGAGCGAACGGACGAGAAGCUUGCUUCUCUGAUGUUAGCGGCGGACGGGUGAGUAACACGUGGAUACCCUACCUAUAAGACUGGGAUAACUUCGGGAAACCGGAGCUAAUACCGGAUAAUAUUUUGAACCGCAUGGUUCAAAGGUGAAAGACGGUCUUGCUGUCACUUAUAGAUGGAUCCGCGCUGCAUUAGCUAGUUGGUAAGGUAACGGCCUACCAAGGCAACGAUGCAUAGCCGACCUGAGAGGGUGAUAGGCCACACGGGAACUGAGACACGGUCCAGACUCCUAAGGGAGGCAGCAGUAGGGAAUCGGACGCAAUGGGCGAAAGCAUGGCGGAGCAACGCCGCGUGAGUGAUGAAGGUCUUGGGAUCGUAAAACCCUGUUAUUAGUGAAGAACAGAUGUGUAAGUAACUGAGCACAUCGUGACGGUACCGAAUCAGAAAGCCACGGCUAACUACGUG